CAGUAGCCGCGGGAAUACAGAGGGUGCGAGCGUUAAUCGGAUUUACUGGGCGUAAAGCGUGCGUAGGCGGCUAAUUGAGUCGGAUGUGAAAUCCCCGAGCUUAACUUGGGAAUUGCAUUCGAUACUGGUUAGCUAGAGUGUGGGAGAGGAUGGUAGAAUUCCAGGUGUAGCGGUGAAAUGCGUAGAGAUCUGGAGGAAUACCGAUGGCGAAGGCAGCCAUCUGGCCUAACACUGACGCUGAGGUACGAAAGCAUGGGGAGCAAACAGGAUUAGAUACCCGGGUAGUCCCUGUCUCUAUACA
rnacentral:rRNA from 1 species